rnacentral:lncRNA from 1 species
AUCAACAUGUAGUUCAUGCUCUAUAUAUUUUAAUUUUUAAUUUAAUGCUAUGUAAUAAUCAUGUAAUAGAAUCUUAGAUCUAGAGAUUCUCUAGUUUUAAAAAAUAAAUUUUGAUUUAUUUUAGUCUUCCGCUGCCUGAUCUUGAAAAAGUUUCAAGAUCUAACCCUGAAACCCUAGAUCUGGUUCCUACAGUUGGUGUCUAAGUUAAACCAGAUCGGUGGUUUUUAAUUGGCAGCCGCUUACCUGGCCAUUUCCAAUGGUGUUUAAGGAAAGCUUUGGCAGACCCUCCCACCGAUCGAACUUACCUGGUCUCUUGGUGAAAUCAUGUUUUGAUCAGAUUACUUAACUAUUUGAGCUGACCCA